ensembl:lncRNA
CUCAGUGAUUUAAAAAAAGAUAUAUAUUCUUUUCAAGUGCCUAAAGAAUAUUUUUUAAACCUGCUAAUGUACUAGGUCCCAAAGAAAAUCUUAAUUUCCAAAACAGAAAUCCGAGCUUACCUUUGAAGACCACAACACACAAAACAGUUGGGAACUAACAAUUAAAUGAUACCAGUAAACAUCAACAACAACCACAAAACCUCUUAGAAAUUUUAACAAUACCCUUCUAAAUAAAUCUUAGGUCAAAGAAGAAUUCAAAGCUAUCUAGACAUUAGAAACAAUGAGAACACUACAUAUGCACCCUUUAGGAUACAUACAAGACUGAAAUCAGAGCAAGAUUUUAGGGUCAAAUGCUUCCAAUAAUAAAUGAGAAAGCUUGAAAUUAAGCGGGAACUAAGAAUUUAACUUAAGAAGCAAAGGACCAAAACAGUAAACCAAAAUAUAGGAUUUAGUGACAAGCAGGAAUUAACAAAACAAAAAUUGGCAAACCUGGUAAAUAAAACCAGUGGUGGUUUGAGAAGGACAAUAACAUAGACAAAACUUUGACAUAUCUGGCCACAUAAGUUAGUAUAUAAAAUCAAUUACUUUCUUUUAUGUCAGUGAUUACUAGUUAGGAAAUGUAAUUUUAAAAAAACCAUUAACAAAAGCAAGAAAUACCAUAAAAUUCCUGAAAAUAAACAUAAGAUAUAUAAAAGGCUUGAACAGACAAAAAUUUAGUGCUGCUGAAGGAUGUAACAGAUUUAAAUAAAUGAAGACCUAACAUGUUUAUUGGCUAGGAAAACUAAGUAUUAUACAGAGCUCAAUUGUCCCUCAAUUAAUCCCUCAAUUGAGAGCAAUUCCAUUAAAAUCCCAAAAAGCUUCUUUUUCUACUUUGACAAAAUUGAUUUUUAAGUAUAUCCAGAAGACAAUAUGCAAGAAAUGAACCAAUGCAAUUUUGAAAGUGCAUAAAUAAAGAAUAUUUUAACCAGAUAUCAAAAUUUACCAUAAGGCGAUGUAUAUUAGUUUUCUAUGGCUAUUUAACAAAUUGCCACAAAUUUAGUAGCUUCAGACAACAUCCAUUCAGUAGUUUACAGUUCUGUCAGUCAGAAGUCUGGCAAAAUGUGGGUGAGUUCUCUGCUCAGGAUUUUACAAGACUGAAAUCAAGUGUUAGUUGUCUGAAUUCUCUAGGACUUGAGGAAAAAUUUGCUUCUGAGAUCAUUGGCAGAAUUCAGUUUCUUGUGGAUGUAGGACUGAGGUCCCUGCUUUCCUGCUGGCUGUUGGCCAGGAGUAGCUCUCAGCUGCUCAGACUUUUGCCAUAUUCCCCAUCCAUUUUCAGUAAGACAGACUCUCCCUACAGUCAAAUUCUUCUCAUGCAUCAAAGCUCUCUCACUUCUGCCACCAGCUGGAGAAAACUCUGAUUUUAUAGGGCUCAUGUUUCAGGUUAGGGCCAUCCAGAUCAUCUCUCUUUCUUAAAGCCAACUGUACCAUGUAAUAAUAAUAUAACAUCUCUUGGAGGUGAAAUUCAUCAUCUUCAUUUAUGAGAAUGAGGGUGGGAAAUCUCAGGGGUCAUCUAAGAAUUCUGCCUACAACAGGGUAACAAACAGUGUGGCCCUGUACCAGAAUACAUAAGUGCAUAAAUCAGAAGAGAAAAAGGACCAUUAAUAGUAUGUUGAAGGUAGUACAAGCUAAGAUAGGUCCUCAAAUCUAUAGAGAAAAUAUGGAUAAAUUAUUAGUUUGUGGUCAUAUGAACAUCAAUUUGAGGAAAAAUAAAUCUCUGCAUCAAACCACAUAUCAAGUCCAGAUGGAUUAAAAUUUUAAAUGUAAUAUAAAAGUACUGGAAGAAAACAUAAGAAUACUCUAUAAUCUUGGGAUGGGAAGAAACUUUGUAAAAACACUGAGACAAAACUCAAACAAAAGAAAUCACUGAUUACAGAAAAAUAAACACUUCUGAAAAGCAAAAUAAAAAGUUCAAAUAUAAAUGAUAAAUUACAAAAACUGUUUGAAUAUGAAUAGAGAAAACGUUACCAUCCUUAAUAUGUAGAGAGCUCUUUUUUUUUUUUUUUAAAAAAAAGAGCAAUAAAUGGAAAUCCCAUAAAGAAUGAUCAAAGGACACGAGAAAUUCACAAGAAAACAAAUUCAUAGACAAUAAACAUACAAAAGUGAUUCAAGUUCACUAAUAACCAAAUAUAAAUUUCACAAAAUAAUAUUUUCACCUAUCAGAUUGUCAAAAAUUAACAGGGCAAUUCUCCAUGUUGCCAACUAUACAUUACUGAUAGGAUUGUAAAUUGGUACAACUUUCCUAGAAGACAAUCUAUACCAAAAAGUAAAAUUAUGCCCUUUCAUACAGCAAUUCCACUUCUAGGAUUUUACGUCAGUCAAAUAAGGAUAUAUAUACAUAUAUAAUCAAUGCGUGUGUCUAAUAAGAGGGAAAAUAUAAGGAACCUAAAUAUUCAUCAAGCCAGCCCUGGAGAUCUAGUGGCUAAGAUUCAGCCUUUUCACCACCGCAGCCUGGGUUCAUUUCCUGAUAAAGGAACAGCAUCACCCAUCUGUCAGUCGUCAUACUGUGGUGGCUGCAUGUUGCUGUCAUGCUGAAAGCUAUGCCACCGCUAUUUCAAACACCAGCAGGCCCAUCCACGGUGGACAGGUUUCAGUGGAGUUUUCUGUCUUCUAGGAAGGACCUGGCCAACCACUUCUGAAAAAACUGGCCAUGAAAACCUAAGGUGCAAGAGAGUAUUGUCUGAUACAGCGCGGAAGGUUAGAUGGCACAAAAUGACCCGGCAGAGGACACAGUCACAAAGACUCAGCAUUGACAGAAUGGCACUAACAACAACAAAGUACUCAUCAUUAGGAAAUGACACAAAUGAUCUACACACUGAAAUUCUGCAGACAUUAAACAGCAUAGGAAUCUCUCUCCAUAUUCAUAUGGAAAGUCAUCUUUCCAU